UACGUAGGUGACCAGCGUUGUCCGGAUUUACUGGGCGUAAAGAGCGCGCAGGCGGUCGUCCAAGUCGAGUGUGAAAGCCCCCGGCUCAACUGGGGAGGGUCAUUCGAUACUGAUCGACUGGAAGGCAGGAGAGGGAAGCGGAAUUCCCGGUGUAGUGGUGAAAUGCGUAGAUAUCGGGAGGAACACCAGUGGCGAAGGCGGCUUCCUGGCCUGUUCUUGACGCUGAGGCGCGAAAGCUAGGGGAGCAAACGGG
rnacentral:rRNA from 1 species